rnacentral:misc_RNA from 1 species
GGCAGUUGCUUUUGGUUCUUUCCUCUGGGACACAGAAGAGUAUGUCAACUCUUUAUUCAAGCUAAAUGAGAAUUAUUAGGGGAGAGAGAGAGAGAGAGAAGUUGUCAAGUAAAGAAAGGAUUGGCAAUCGAGUUUCACUCUCUGUACAUUUGAGUUUGAUUUCUCCUUUUAUUUCUGAGAACUCAACAGUUUGUUGUAUAGUGUACAUUUGUGCCGUAAAUAACGUACAGUCUACAAACUGUUCUGCAUAUUUCUGUUUCUACCAUGGAGAUGGAGUUUUGAUGUUAGUUUCAGGUGGUGAAUUAUUGAAUCAAAGACCAUGAUUUGUAAUCUGUAAAUUACAAAAUUGAUGUUUUGUUUUGGCAGUGUUGUUUCUUGUAUUCGUGCAAGUUCCUGAUAUAUUUUACUGGGGAUAUGGACAACUUAUGCCAGUAAAACUUUUCCUUCGAAGCAAUUGCAUGACGGCAGCUGAUUUUACUUUUGAAGUAAAGCUUAACCUGAAGGUGUGGUGUAGAACAUCUGUUUGCUUUGCGAAAUUGAAUUCCAAGCGUACAAGGGAAUAUAGCCUUUUAAGAAAUUUAUAAUCCAAGACACCUUUGGAAGAUGAUCUUUCUAAGCAAAUCAAUCUCUUGUACUUUUAAGACACCUUUGGAAUUUCGACUGCCUCGAAAAGUAUCUGUAUUUAACCCCUCUUGUAUAGAGUUUUAGAUAAGAUUUUAUGUAAGAUAAGCCAAAACUAUUAUGUUAUGACAAUCUAUU